rnacentral:lncRNA from 1 species
AUAAAAAUACUAUUAUCAUUUCUAAUUAACACAUAAAAACUAAUCAAGUCAUUUCAAUUCGAUACCAAUGCCAUAAAGGACUUCUACCAAUUUGCUAAUAUAAUCAUCAAAAUACAUAAUAUCUUACUUUACAACAAAACUAUAUAACAUACCAAAAUAACUAUUAUAAUUCUUAUGUACAUGCCACUUUCUCUUAAAGGAAGAAAACAUCACCAAAAUCUUUAUGUCGGAGUCGGGAUUGUCCUGGAUGCUGAACCGAGACUCUGAUCCCUUUUCAACUUGCACACGGAAACAACCGUACACUGAGUAUUGUAUACUCAGUGGUAUUACCAUAAUUCAAAUUAUAAUAACAACAAAGAAUUAUAAUUACCAAGCAUGUAACUAUCCGAUUUCUUAAAUAUCAAUUAAUUUAUAAACUUUCAUUAACUAACAAUAACAAUACAAUUUUUAGCUAUUCUUCAAUUUCAAUCAUAUAUCACAUGUAAUAAUUUCAAUCACUACAUAAACAUUAAAUUCAUGCCUUUCAUUUUCAAUCUCAAAUUUCAAUCCACAAUUUUAACUUUUCUUAUUUCAAUUAUUCACCCUAUUAACAAUCUGGAUUUUGACGGAUACACGGAUUCCAACCCAAACACACCAAUACGGCACAUUGUGCCUAAAACGGUAUAUAGUACCUGAUUAGUAUACGACACAUAAGUGUCUGAAACGACACACGAGGUGCCUGAUACGACACAUAAAGUGCCUGAAAUACGACACAUAAAGUGCCUGAUCGGCAAAGCCGAUAAAUCCCGUACUCUUCUAAAUCCUAUGGCAUGCCAAUUAUAUCCGACUCAGCCCGACUAGUUAAUAGGGUAUAUAAAUUUCUCGAUCUAAAUUUCACUUUUAUUUCAAAAAUUCAUUUUCAAUAUCAAUUAUACUUUUUCCUUUCACUAAUUAAACACAGUUCAAUACCAACACAUACUUUUCUCAUUCAAUUUAAUUUUUUUUUUCCAAAUUCAAUUCAAUAGUCACUUACCUUAUCAUAUGCUUGCCAUACACAUAAUUUAAAUUUAACAUCAAAUAAUAAAUAAUUUGAAUUAUAGUAAUACAAACCCGAAUUUUGCUCGAUUAUUCCUCAAUAACCUUCUCCUUUCCUUUGUGUGCCGAUGCCUCGAGUUCCUUGUUAGCUACGAAAAUAAUAAUAAUUUACACCAUCAAUUACAACAUUAAUUUAUAACAAUAAUAAAAUUUCUAUCUAAUUUAUACUUUAAUUCCAAUUUAAUUCACACUCUAUUUCUAUUCAAAUUUCUUCUAAACUCAAAUUUAACUACCAAAUUUUCAGCAUAUUUCAUUAAUUUCGAAUUUUCAUCAAUUUAAUCCCUACAAACAUAAAACUUAUAGCUUACUUCACAAUUUAAUCCUUUUAUCAACUCUAACUAGAAAUUCUAUCAAAUAAAACCUCAAUUCCAUCAUUUAUUCAACAUAAACCCUACUAAAAAUCUAUUAACUUUCAAAUUUUCAACUUAAAUCCAAGAGUAUUUCACUCUAGGGUUCCAAAAAACAUCAAAUUUAUGAGAAAAGGACUUGAUUUAGCUUACCUAUUAAACUUCAAGUUUCAAAAUCUUAAUUUUCCCUCUUUCUUUUCUUUCCCUUUUUCUUCUCCUGUUUUCGUCUCUUUCUCUGUUUCUUUUCUGUUCUUCUUUUGUUUCUUUUUCUUUUUGUUUUACUUACUUUAUUUUAAU